CCUCUCGUCGUUCAAUGGAAAGGAUACCGGCCUGCGAAGCUGGAAAUACAGGUUCGAUUCCUGUCGAGAGGA
rnacentral:tRNA from 5 species